rnacentral:lncRNA from 1 species
CUGGAUAUGGAUGCAUAUACUAAAGACAAUUCAUAUUCUGCUGAAUUUUAAAUGGAGUAUGAGUGUAUGACUGCAAGCAAUACACACGAGAAGAAAAUCAAACAGAUGCUGACAGCUGGUACAUGAUGGAUGUACAGAGAGAUCCAUGUAUGUAUUUCUCCCUCACAUGAAGGAAACGGACACUGGUUAUAGAAACUAGUCGAAGACUACUACACAUGCUAGGAGUAGAUCAUAUCCUCGUCCAUGUCCUUCCUGAAAAGAAACCCUCGGAAGUGGUUCGAUGUGACUUCAGUUGGUUCAUAUUCCAUGCAACAGAUUGGCUGAGCAGCAAAUAAUAUAUGUGAAAAUAACUCAUGAGAUGAAAAACAAGUGUAUAUAUACAUUAUACGCUACAAAUCUCCUCUAUAAUUGAAAACUUUUUGGGCCGUUAGACCAGACAAACUCACGCCCCAACAAACUCAUCUCCACCGCAGCCCACUAAUUCGGCCCACUAAUCUCCACCAUAACCAGGUCAAAACACGCAUCUGGCUCCAGGGAGUGAAUUUUGCACGCAUGCAUACAUGCAAGACACAGUUUCUGUCGUAAAAAUAUUCUACUACUGGAGUAAUAAAUCUUUUUGCUGUGAUUUUAGUUGAUCUUUUUUUUAAUAAUAAAUAAUAAAUAGCUGCAGUAGCCAGUAGGUGCUGUAUAUGGUCCCUACUGGAGUACAUACAUGAGAAAACGUUUUUCCUCCAAAGGCUAGCCUGGUUACAGUACGUGACAUGUACCGUGAUCAUAGAUCGAUUUUAGUAUAUCCGUAUUCAAGUAUUAUAGGUUACACGUAUACGUACCGGAUCGUCGGUG